CAGUCGCCGCGGUAACACGAAGGGUGCAAGCGUUACUCGGAAUUACUGGGCGUAAAGCGUGCGUAGGUGGCGGUUUAAGUCCGUUGUGAAAGCCCUGGGCUCAACCUGGGAAUUGCAGUGGAUACUGGGUCACUAGAGUGUGGUAGAGGAUAGUGGAAUUUCCGGUGUAGCAGUGAAAUGCGUAGAGAUCGGAAGGAACAUCUGUGGCGAAGGCGACUAUCUGGGCCAACACUGACACUGAGGCACGAAAGCGUGGGGAGCAAACAGGAUUAGAUACCCCCGUAGUCCCUGUCUCUUAUAC
rnacentral:rRNA from 1 species